rnacentral:rRNA from 1 species
GAUGAACGCUGGCGGCGUGCCUAAUACAUGCAAGUCGAGCGAACAGAUAAGGAGCUUGCUCCUUUGACGUUAGCGGCGGACGGGUGAGUAACACGUGGGUAACCUACCUAUAAGACUGGGAUAACUUCGGGAAACCGGAGCUAAUACCGGAUAACAUUUGGAACCGCAUGGUUCUAAAGUGAAAGAUGGUUUUGCUAUCACUUAUAGAUGGACCCGCGCCGUUAGCUAGUUGGUAAGGUAACGGCUUACCAAGGCGACGAUACGUAGCCGACCUGAGAGGGUGAUCGGCCACACUGGAACUGAGACACGGUCCAGACUCCUACGGGAGGCAGCAGUAGGGAAUCUUCCGCAAUGGGCGAAAGCCUGACGGAGCAACGCCGCGUGAGUGAUGAAGGGUUUCGGCUCGUAAAACUCUGUUAUUAGGGAAGAACAAAUGUGUAAGUAACUGUGCACGUCUUGACGGUACCUAAUCAGAAAGCCACGGCUAACUACGUG